AACCUGCCCUUAACUUCGGGAUAAGCCUGGGAAACUGGGUCUAAUACCGGAUAUUCACUUUUCACCGCAUGGUGGGGGGUGGAAAGAUUUUUUGGUUUUGGAUGGACUCGCGGCCUAUCAGCUUGUUGGUGAGGUAAUGGCUUACCAAGGCGACGACGGGUAGCCGGCCUGAGAGGGUGACCGGCCACACUGGGACUGAGACACGGCCCAGACUCCUACGGGAGGCAGCAGUGGGGAAUAUUGCACAAUGGGCGCAAGCCUGAUGCAGCGACGCCGCGUGAGGGAUGAAGGCCUUCGGGUUGUAAACCUCUUUCAGUAGGGAAGAAGCGUAAGUGACGGUACCUGCAGAAGAAGCACCGGCUAACUACGUGCCAGCAGCCGCGGUAAUACGUAGGGUGCAAGCGUUAUCCGGAAUUAUUGGGCGUAAAGAGCUCGUAGGCGGUUUGUCGCGUCUGCCGUGAAAGUCCGGGGCUCAACUCCGGAUCUGCGGUGGGUACGGGCAGACUAGAGUGCAGUAGGGGAGACUGGAAUUCCUGGUGUAGCGGUGAAAUGCGCAGAUAUCAGGAGGAACACCGAUGGCGAAGGCAGGUCUCUGGGCUGUAACUGACGCUGAGGAGCGAAAGCAUGGGGAGCGAACAGGAUUAGAUACCCUGGUAGUCCAUGCCG
rnacentral:rRNA from 1 species